CAGCUGGACCCUGCUCCUUGUGUUACGAAGGCAUCUUCUGCAAAUCUUCUGCAAAGAGUCUGCAUUGCUUGAUUUAUACAGUCAUUUGGAGGGCCUCCACACUUCUUUCUGUCCUCCCAGGAUGAGGUGUGGACAAUCCAUUCUCCCAGUGGGAAACUGAAGAUAAACAUCUUCUGCACCCAGAGAUUGCUAAAUUUCUAUACAAAUAUGUGACAGACUACACAUUACUGAUGCUACAGUAAAAGCUUGAAGAAUUAGAACCUCCCAUCUCUUGAUUUUUAGGACUGAAGAAUGAAAACCUGAAGUAAGGAGAAUAAUCGGAUUCUUUCAGUUCCUGCCUCUAUCAGUUGCUAUACUGUGCCUCUUCUCUCCCUGCAGUGAGACACAG